rnacentral:rRNA from 1 species
UAAGGUUAAGUUAAUAAGGGCGCACGGUGGAUGCCUUGGCACUAGAAGCCGAUGAAGGACGUGACUAACGACGAAAUGCUUUGGGGAGUUGUAAGUAAACAUUGAUCCAGAGAUGUCCGAAUGGGGGAACCCGGCAUGUAAUGCAUGUCACUCAUUACUGUUAAGGUAAUGAAGAGGAAGACGCAGUGAACUGAAACAUCUAAGUAGCUGCAGGAAGAGAAAGCAAACGCGAUUGCCUUAGUAGCGGCGAGCGAAAUGGCAAGAGGGCAAACCGAUGUGUUUACACAUCGGGGUUGUAGGACUGCGACGUGGGACGACAAGAUUAUAGAAGAAUUACCUGGGAAGGUAAGCCAAAGAGAGUAACAGCCUCGUAUUCGAAAUAGUCUUUAACCCUAGCAGUAUCCUGAGUACGGCGAGACACGAGAAAUCUCGUCGGAAUCUGGGAGGACCAUCUCCUAACCCUAAAUACUCUCUAGUGACCGAUAGUGAACCAGUACCGUGAGGGAAAGGUGAAAAGCACCCCGGGAGGGGAGUGAAAUAGAACCUGAAACCGUGUGCCUACAACAAGUUCGAGCCCGUUAAUGGGUGAGAGCGUGCCUUUUGUAGAAUGAACCGGCGAGUUACGAUAUGAUGCGAGGUUAAGUUGAAGAGACGGAGCCGUAGGGAAACCGAGUCUUAAUAGGGCGCAUUAGUAUCAUGUCGUAGACCCGAAACCAUGUGACCUACCCAUGAGCAGGGUGAAGGUGAGGUAAAACUCACUGGAGGCCCGAACCAGGGCACGUUGAAAAGUGCUUGGAUGACUUGUGGGUAGCGGAGAAAUUCCAAACGAACUUGGAGAUAGCUGGUUCUCUCCGAAAUAGCUUUAGGGCUAGCGUCGAUGUUAAGUCUCUUGGAGGUAGAGCACUGUUUGAUUGAGGGGUCCAUCCCGGAUUACCAAUAUCAGAUAAACUCCGAAUGCCAAUGAGAUAUAAUCGGCAGUCAGACUGCGAGUGCUAAGAUCCGUAGUCGAAAGGGAAACAGCCCAGACCACCAGCUAAGGUCCCAAAAUAUAUGUUAAGUGGAAAAGGAUGUGGGGUUGCACAGACAACUAGGAUGUUAGCUUAGAAGCAGCUAUUCAUUCAAAGAGUGCGUAAUAGCUCACUAGUCGAGUGACCCUGCGCCGAAAAUGUACCGGGGCUAAAACAUAUUACCGAAGCUGUGGAUACCUUUUAGGUAUGGUAGGAGAGCGUUCUAUGUGUGAAGAAGGUGUACCGUGAGGAGCGCUGGAACGCAUAGAAGUGAGAAUGCCGGUAUGAGUAGCGAAAGACAGGUGAGAAUCCUGUCCACCGUAUGACUAAGGUUUCCAGGGGAAGGCUCGUCCUCCCUGGGUUAGUCGGGACCUAAGGAGAGACCGAAAGGUGUAUCCGAUGGACAACAGGUUGAUAUUCCUGUACUAGAGUAUAUAGUGAUGGAGGGACGCAGUAGGCUAACUAAAGCGUGCGAUUGGAAGUGCACGUCUAAGCAGUGAGGUGUGAUAUGAGUCAAAUGCUUAUAUCU